CAUGGAGAAGGUGAUUCGUGAACAAGAUUGGCUUUUGGCUUGGGGAAAUUUGUACACGUCCUUUCCAAAACCUCUUUGGGGUUGUGGCACGAUAGCUGGAAUGCUGGCAGCUUAAUGUCCUUCCCAAAGUGGAGUCACCUCACCAUGUCUAAUGGUACAACCAGCCCUGUUCCCAAGAUGCCAUUUUGUCAGCAGACAAAAAUAAAGGUAAAGGAAGAGGAUAGUUUACAUGAUGGAGUAGGCAGGGAAGAGUGGAAAGGACACAAAUCACUGCAAUGGAUGCUGUCACUGUCCUCUCUUUUAUUACGACAUGGUAAGUAUUUCACACAAAGUACUGAAAAGAAUUCCCAAAGAUGGCGCUUUAUAAAUCUGGAGGACAGAAAAGAAUAUUCAGGACUGCAACCUCCAGGACAUACACAGACCUCCCUAGUGCCUGAAAACGUAAAGAUUAUAAACCUUUCCCUGUCUUUAUAAAGACAGAAUAAACCUUCUUCUGUCUCUGCAUAAACCUGUCUUUGGCCUGUUGUGCAGUUUUAGUAAUGGACCAGGGUGUCUCCAGUUUUAAGCUUCGUGGCUGGUAAUUAAAGGGAAAAGCUGUACUAAGAGUAAACUUCUCCCGAGUUUCAACAACUCAGGAUGUCACUGGGAUGGGACAGUCUGAAAUGCCUUUGCAGCAAAUACAAAAGGAAACCUCAUUCGCAUCUGAAGUCCCAGGUGAGCCUCUAGUGGUGUAUGGGGUGAGCAUCUCAUUUUCCAUCAGCAAUAAAGCCAGCCAAAACUAUGUGCAUCCAACAACUUUUAGUGUCAGCUGUUUUACAAGAUCACUUAACUAAAACAUUCAAAUGUUCCAGAAAAUCUUCAGAAUUUAAAACAUCAAAUAUCUCACUGAACAUGAGAUUCUGCAGUCAACAGUUCUUUAUUUAAAGGAACAGGAUGCAGAGAACACUACAAAAAGCUUGUCCUCUUUUGACCAAGAUAUCAAAAAACAAAAACAAAAA